rnacentral:rRNA from 1 species
AGAGUUUGAUCCUGGCUCAGGACGAACGCUGGCGGCGUGCCUAACACAUGCAAGUCGAGCGAGAAAGCCCCUUCGGGGGUUAGUAAAGCGGCGGACGGGUGAGUAACACGUGAGCGAUCUACCCAAGGGUGGGGGACAACUCAGGGAAACCUGAGCUAAUACCGCGUACAGCGCCGGCUUGGAAGCCUGGCGUGAAAGGUGGCCUCUACUUGUAAGCUACCGCCUUUGGAUGAGCUCGCGGCCUAUCAGCUUGUUGGUGGGGUAAUGGCCUACCAAGGCAAUGACGGGUAGCUGGCGUGAGAGCGCGACCAGCCACACUGGGACUGAGACACGGCCCAGACUCCUACGGGAGGCAGCAGUGGGGAAUAUUGCGCAAUGGGCGAAAGCCUGACGCAGCGACGCCGCGUGGGGGAGGAAGGCCUCAGGGUUGUAAACCCCUGUCAGGUGGGACGAAACCCGUAGUGUCGAAUAGGCAUUACGAUUGACGGUACCACCAAAGGAAGCUCCGGCUAACUCAGUGCCAGCAGCCGCGGUAAUACUGGGGGAGCGAGCGUUGUUCGGAAUUACUGGGCGUAAAGGGCGCGUAGGCGGCUUGGUCAGUCGCGUGUGAAAGGCCGGGGCUCAACCCCGAGCACUGCACGUGAUACUGCCUGGCUCGAGAGAGGUAGGGGCGAGCGGAAUUCCCGGUGUAGCGGUGGA